rnacentral:misc_RNA from 1 species
GAUGAAGAACGCAGCGAACUGCGAUAAGUAAUGUGAAUUGCAGAAUUCAGUGAAUCAUCGAGUCUUUGAACGCACAUUGCGCCCCCUGGCAUUCCGGGGGGCAUGCCUGUCCGAGCGUCAUUGCUGCCCUUCAAGCCCGGCUUGUGUGUUGGAUCGUCGUCCCCCCCGGGGGACGGGCCCGAAAGGCAGCGGCGGCACCGCGUCCGGUCCUCGAGCGUAUGGGGCUUUGUCACCCGCUCGAUUAGGGCCGGCCGGGCGCCAGCCGGCGUCUCCAACCUUCUAUUUUACCAGGUUGACCUCGGAUCAGGUAGGGAUACCCGCUGAACUUAAGCAUAUCAAUAAGCGGAGGA